rnacentral:rRNA from 1 species
CCUACGGGGGGCAGCAGUGAGGAAUAUUGGUCAAUGGGCGGAAGCCUGAACCAGCCAAGUAGCGUGCAGGAUGACGGCCCUACGGGUUGUAAACUGCUUUUAUACGGGAAUAACGCGCCUUAAGUGUAGGGCUUUGCAUGUACCGUAUGAAUAAGGACCGGCUAAUUCCGGGCCAGCAGCCGCGGUAAUACGGAAGGUCCGGGCGUUAGCCGGAUUUAGUGGGUGUAAAGGGAGCGUAGGCCGCAUGUCAAGCGUGCCGUGAAAUGUCCGGGCUCAACCCGGGCCUUGCAGCGCGAACUGGCGUGCUUGAGUCCGCGGAUAGCAGGCGGAAUUCGUCGUGUAGCGGUGAAAUGCUUAGAUAUGACGAAGAACCCCGAUUGCGAAGGCAGCUUGCUGCAGCGGAACUGACGCUGAUGCUCGAAAGCGCGGGUAUCAAACAGGAUUAGAUACCCUGGUAGUC